rnacentral:rRNA from 1 species
UACCUACGGGGGGCAGCAGUGGGGAAUAUUGCACAAUGGGGGAAACCCUGAUGCAGCAACGCCGCGUGAAGGAAGACGGUUUUCGGAUUGUAAACUUCUUUUGUGCGGGAGCAAUAAGGGCCACGUGUGGCCCGAUGAGAGUACCGCACGAAUAAGCAUCGGCUAACUCCGUGCCAGCAGCCGCGGUAAUACGGGGGAUGCGAGCGUUAUCCGGAUUUAUUGGGUUUAAAGGGCGCGUAGGCGGCGCUUCAGGUCAGCGGUGAAAUACCGGGGCUCAACCCCGGGGCUGCCGUUGAAACCGGAGC